UGCAGAAUCCCGUGAACCAUCGAGUCUUUGAACGCAAGUUGCGCCUGAAGCCAGUAGGCUGAGGGCACGUCUGCCUGGGUGUCA
rnacentral:rRNA from 1 species